rnacentral:rRNA from 2 species
CUUCCACAAUGGGCGCAAGCCUGAUGGAGCAACACCGCGUGAGUGAAGAAGGGUUUCGGCUCGUAAAGCUCUGUUGUUAAAGAAGAACACGUAUGAGAGUAACUGUUCAUACGUUGACGGUAUUUAACCAGAAAGUCACGGCUAACUACGUGCCAGCAGCCGCGGUAAUACGUAGGUGGCAAGCGUUAUCCGGAUUUAUUGGGCGUAAAGAGAGUGCAGGCGGUUUUCUAAGUCUGAUGUGAAAGCCUUCGGCUUAACCGGAGAAGUGCAUCGGAAACUGGAUAACUUGAGUGCAGAAGAGGGUAGUGGAACUCCAUGUGUAGCGGUGGAAUGCGUAGAUAUAUGGAAGAACACCAGUGGCGAAGGCGGCUACCUGGUCUGCAACUGACGCUGAGACUCGAAAGCAUGGGUAGCGAACAGGAUUAGAUACCCUGGUAGUCCAUGCCGUAAACGAUGAGUGCUAGGUGUUGGAGGGUUUCCGCCCUUCAGUGCCGGAGCUAACGCAUUAAGCACUCCGCCUGGGGAGUACGACCGCAAGGUUGAAACUCAAAGGAAUUGACGGGGGCCCGCACAAGCGGUGGAGCAUGUGGUUUAAUUCGAAGCUACGCGAAGAACCUUACCAGGUCUUGACAUCUUGCGCCAACCCUAGAGAUAGGGCGUUUCCUUCGGGAACGCAAUGACAGGUGGUGCAUGGUCGUCGUCAGCUCGUGUCGUGAGAUGUUGGGUUAAGUCCCGCAACGAGCGCAACCCUUGUUACUAGUUGCCAGCAUUAAGUUGGGCACUCUAGUGAGACUGCCGGUGACAAACCGGAGGAAGGUGGGGACGACGUCAGAUCAUCAUGCCCCUUAUGACCUGGGCUACACACGUGCUACAAUGGACGGUACAACGAGUCGCGAACUCGCGAGGGCAAGCAAAUCUCUUAAAACCGUUCUCAGUUCGGACUGCAGGCUGCAACUCGCCUGCACGAAGUCGGAAUCGCUAGUAAUCGCGGAUCAGCAUGCCGCGGUGAAUACGUUCCCGGGCCUUGUACACACCGCCCGUCACAC